rnacentral:tRNA from 1 species
UGGAUCACCUCCUAACAGGGAGACAACAAAAUGUAAAUAUUAAUUUUGUCACCUUAGGUCGAUCGGUAUCUCAGAUUCUUAUUUUUUAAGAAUUUCAGUUUCUAAGUUUUUUCUAGGUCACACCCAUCACUUUUUCCUGGGCCAUUAGCUCAGGUGGUUAGAGCGCACCCCUGAUAAGGGUGAGGUCCCUGGUUCAAGUCCAGGAUGGCCCAUAUCUCUAUGUUGGGGGUAUAGCUCAGUUGGUAGAGCGCCUGCUUUGCAAGCAGGAUGUCAGCGGUUCGAGUCCGCUUACCUCCACUGAAUACCACCUCUUACAUAUUUUUAAAGAGGGAAAUUGUUUUGAGUCGUGUCCUAAUUUGCUCUAAGCGAAUCUAGCUUCCUAUUUUAUUUAAUAAAUAAGAUGCUGGACUCAUUGAAUUUUUUUUCAUUGUUUUCAGAGAACCUUGACAACUGCAUAGAUUAUUUUUGAAGACAAUAAGCAUCUUUAAAGAUGCAGAUUUAUUAUUUGUGCGAAUGCAUUAAACAACAAUUCUAUUAAGCUGAUGCUUCAAUUAUUGAAGUUAUUGGUCAAGCUACAAAGGGCUCACGGAGGAUACCUAGGCACACAGAGGCGAUGAAGG